CCUACGGGGGGCUGCAGUGGGGAAUAUUGGACAAUGGGGGCAACCCUGAUCCAGCAAUGCCGCGUGUGUGAAGAAGGUCUUCGGAUUGUAAAGCACUUUCGACGGGGACGAUGAUGACGGUACCCGUAGAAGAAGCCCCGGCUAACUUCGUGCCAGCAGCCGCGGUAAUACGAAGGGGGCUAGCGUUGCUCGGAAUGACUGGGCGUAAAGGGCGUGUAGGCGGUUUGUACAGUCAGAUGUGAAAUCCCCGGGCUUAACCUGGGAGCUGCAUUUGAUACGUACAGACUAGAGUGUGAGAGAGGGUUGUGGAAUUCCCAGUGUAGAGGUGAAAUUCGUAGAUAUUGGGAAGAACACCGGUGGCGAAGGCGGCAACCUGGCUCAUUACUGACGCUGAGGCGCGAAAGCGUGGGGAGCAAACAGGAUUAGAUACCCCGGUAGUC
rnacentral:rRNA from 1 species